UACGUAGGGGCCCAGCGUUGUCCGGAAUUAUUGGGCGUAAAGGGCGCGUAGGCGGCCCGGUAAGUCAAAGGUGAAAUCCCCCGGCUCAACUGGGGAACUGCAAGGGAAACAGCAGGGCUUGAGUUCGGGAGAGGGAAGCGGAAUUCCGGGUGUAGCGGUGAAAUGCGUAGAUAUCCGGAGGAACACCGGUGGCGAAGGCGGCUUCCUGGACCGAUACUGACGCUGAGGCGCGAAAGCUAGGGGAGCAAACGGG
rnacentral:rRNA from 1 species